rnacentral:rRNA from 1 species
UACGAAGGGGGCUAGCGUUGUUCGGAAUUACUGGGCGUAAAGCGCGCGUAGGCGGCUUUGUAAGUCAGGGGUGAAAUCCCGGGGCUCAACCUCGGAACUGCCUUUGAUACUGCAAAUCUCGAGUCCGGAAGAGGUGAGUGGAAUUCCUAGUGUAGAGGUGAAAUUCGUAGAUAUUAGGAAGAACACCAGUGGCGAAGGCGGCUCACUGGUCCGGUACUGACGCUGAGGUGCGAAAGCGUGGGGAGCAAACAGG